UCCGCCCCGACGGAAGCGCCGGUAACGGAACCGGAAGUCGACGGUGGGAUCGGGUCCGUGGUGUUCGCCCCUUUCUCAAAACGCCUCAGCCUACUCCUUUUCUAGGCCUUCCCCGUCCCAGAAAGUGCCAGGGGUCCUUCACUAGCCCCUGUCACUCCGCCACCAAGUGUUCUGUGCGCAGACUCAGGACGGAGGGGGACGCUGCGCAGACAGGAAUCAGGGUAAACCUGAAGAACCCCUUGCUCCAGUGUGAACACACCUACGAUGUUCAUUGCAGCGUUGUUUGUGAUCAAAAAAAACUGGAAAGAACCUGGAUGUCCAUUAACAGAAACACAUGAAGAAACAGUUGUUGAACAGUCAGAAGUUUUUCAAUUGUUUGGGAUGAGUACAAUGAAAGAUGCAAACCAAGUACGUCAGUUUAAAUGUUUCCUACCAGAUAUCAAAUGACUACCAAACAGAAUUAAAUAACAUAUCUGAAAAGUGAAAUCCAGUUUCCUGAAUCCUGAAACACAGCCAAGUGAGGUUCCUAGAGUCUGUG